GGGGAUGUACCUCAAACGAUAGAGCACUCGCUUUGCAUGUGAAAGGUAUGGGGUUCGAUACCCACAUCUCCA
rnacentral:tRNA from 1 species